GGACUGUGGAUGAAGUCAAGUGUUGAGCUGACAAUGACAAGGGGUUGAGGGUGUCAGCACAUCAAACAGAUGUGGUGAUCGGAGACAGGGAAUUUUGAGAUUUGCUCAGUGAAAAGCAAGGUACAAAAAAAUUGGACUUGGUUGAAGAGCGAGUGUUGUGUUCAUGCACAGAGUUUACAGUGUGUUGGAGUGUGGUCAAGUCUUUUCCAUUAGCAAGCAGGCAGGCAUCAUCGGCGAAGAGCUUGGUUAGAAGAUUUGAGCAGUUUGACAAGUCAUUUAACCCUAACCCUGGACAAUUCCGCACUGAAUGGGCAACAUUGGGGACUUUUGAGAACCUAAUUCAACAAAUCGAAAACAACCACUCAGGUCAGGUCAGAUGUCAAUACAAGAAAAUCCACCAAGUGCAUCAAUUUAACAAAGUCAUAUGCAGGAUCUGAGCCGUUAAAACUACAAGAUACUGUGGUUGAACUUGAGAAUGGAAGAAAUCUUAUGAUGGUUGCAUUGACACGAACAGGCAUACCAUGAAUCCACGCAUGAUCGCAGCAGAAGCUGAAUAAGGUCCUGUGAUAGAACUUUGAUGAAUUAUAUUUGACUAAGAGUUUGGGGCGGCUUAUUCACCUUUUACGCCAAAGUAUCGAGAAUACAAACAAGAUUGAAGGAGAUGUUGAAAGAGCACCUGUUAUAAAGCUGCAAUUGCAGAAAUUGAUCUGAUGAGCCCAGCUCCUCGAUGCUCACAGAAGAAUCUACUUGGACCAGAAAUCGUAAAAAGUUUAACAAUACGGCACGAGAGAACACAACCGACUGACGUCAUCCAAAAAUUUUAUUUCUGCAUAUUUAAACGCUCAUUUCCUCGGCCAGCUAAUGAUUAUUAGCUAAUCAAGAUUGUUUAUUAUGGCGAUACAGUUCUUUUUAUAUAUAUUCAAAACUAUAAAAGUGAUUUUGUAAAAGGAAACUGGGGCUAAUGAUCCAAAAUAAAGAAUUACCUUUGGUGUGGUCUGAUUUCAAUACGAAAGAUUCGGAUUCGGACCGGGGCCCACCAGUUGAGUAGCCCUGGUAUAUUCUUAUUGCAGUAGUAAAGAAACCGGACUUAUAUUCGCGAUUAUGUGAUAAAAUAAACUACUGACUGACAUACAGUUAGACUACCUGCCAAAACGAGCGUUAACUCUACAUUUAUCAAACAGACGAACAUUCGCAUAAUCUAAGUAUCAGUUCGGCAAGUGUUACACCCAAGUUGUGUAAAGGGACUGAAACCUAUGGGCAGGGAAAUAUUCACUUGGCUAACACAGACAGUCCCCGAACUCUUAAUAGAACUAAAAUAAGGAAAAUCAGAAUAAAAUUAAAUCGGUACACAUACUACCAGAGUACCCAAUUGGAAAACUUGUACUAUUAUCCAUACUUUGUACCUUAAAUGUAUACUGUUGCCAACAUAUGGAUCUUGGCUAUCGAGAUUGUCAUA